rnacentral:misc_RNA from 1 species
GAUGAAUAACGCAGCGAAAUGCGAUAAGUAGUGUGAAUUGCAGAAUUCAGUGAAUCAUCGAAUCUUUGAACGCACAUUGCGCCCUUUGGUAUUCCUUAGGGCAUGCCUGUUCGAGCGUCAUUUAAACCUUCAAGCUCAGCUUGGUGUUGGGUGACUGUCCGCCGCCUCCGGGCGGUCGGACUCGCCUCAAAUUGAUUGGCGGCCGGUACUUUGGCUUCGAGCGCAGCAGAAACGCGAACUCGAGGCCGUCGUCCUGGCUCCCAGAAGCUAUCUUCACAAUUUUGACCUCGGAUCAGGUAGGGAUACCCGCUGAACUUAAGCAUAUCAAUAAGCGGAGGA